AUGAAUCUUCUAGCCUGGAACUGUCGAGGCUUGGGGUUGGACUCGACAGUCGGCGAAUUACGUGACCUAAUACGGUCCCACAACCCGGCGGUGGUUUUCUUAAGUGAAACAAAAAAGAAAUCAAGGGCUAUGGAUAGACUCAAAUGGAGUUUGGGUUUUUCAAAUGGAGUGGCGGUGGAUUGUGUAGGCCGGAGUAGUGGCCUAGCUCUCUGGUGGAGGGAUCAUGUCAAAGUCAAGGUG
rnacentral:rRNA from 1 species